rnacentral:rRNA from 1 species
UUGUUAGUGGCAGACGGGUGAGUAAUGCGUAGGAAUCUACCUAGUAGUACGGAAUAGCCAUUAGAAAUGGUGGGUAAUACUGUAUAAUCCCCGAGGGGGAAAGAUUUAUCGCUAUUAGAUGAGCCUACGUUAGAUUAGCUAGUUGGUGAGGUAAUGGCUUACCAAGGCUAUGAUCUAUAGCUGGUCUGAGAGGACGAUCAGCCACACUGGAACUGAGAUACGGUCCAGACUCCUACGGGAGGCAGCAGUGGGGAAUAUUGGACAAUGGGCGAAAGCCUGAUCCAGCUAUGCCGCGUGAGUGAAGAAGGCCUUCGGGUUGUAAAACUCUUU